rnacentral:rRNA from 1 species
ACGUAGGUGGCGAGCGUUGUCCGGAAUUAUUGGGCGUAAAGCGCGCGCAGGUGGUUAUACAAGUCUCAUUUGAAAGUGCUGAGCUCAACUGAGAGAUGGGUUUGAAACUGUACGACUUGAGUGCAGGAGGGGUAGGCGGAAUUCCUAGUGUAGCGGUGAAAUGCGUAGAUAUUAGGAGGAACACCAGUGGCGAAGGCGGCCUACUGGACUGCUACUGACGCUGAGGCGCGAAAGCCAGGGGAGCAAACGG